ACUCCCUCCUGCCGGGCCCCUCUCUCUCUUGCUUUCUCUAUGUCUCUUGCUCUCUCUUGCUUUCUCUGUCUCUCUCUUGCGCGCGCUUCCUCUCUCUCUCUCUCUCUUUCUCUUUCUCUCUCUUCUCCUCGGUUGCACUGCUGCAACAAAGAUCUCUUGGUUGCUCUGAGUGUUGUGGUCACUUUCCUUUCAUUGGUGCUGAAACCCGCGAGAGGGUUAAAACCCACUUUUGGGUCCCUCUUCCUUCGGAAAUGCCACUCACCGGACGACCUGAACCCAUUUUCUCGAUCGCCAGAACUCCAUCCACCACCAGCCUUAGUUGGAUAGAUGACUUCCCUACAUCCAGGGAAAUUGCUGACACCAUUGCCUCCAUCCUCAUUGAGGGGAUCAUUCCCAGGUUCGAACUUCCCACCUCCAUCCAGUGAGACAGUGGUCCAGCUCUCACUUCUCAGGUUGUUCAACUAGUCUCCAAAGGCCUCAACAUCACCUGGAGUCUCCACAUCUCCCACUAACCCCAAUCCUUGGUUUUUAUCUCAAACCACAGAUGCCACUUCUACAACCAAACCACCAGGAUGACACCACCCACUCUCAGUUUAUGGGUCAAGGCGAUUGCUCUUCCACUGGCUGAAAUCGGGCUGUCACCCUUAACAUUACUGGAUUCAACCAAGCCACCUCUGAUACUUCCUAGAGUCCCUACAACAGGACCAAUGGCUGAUACCAAGAAUCUCCUCCAUCUAGGACUGGUUUGAUGCCAUCAACGACUUGUGGCUUCAAGGAACUUUUAUGGACUUUACCCCUACCAAAGUAGUUAUUAUAGCCACUGAGUGUUAUUUCUGGCUGCCCUGAUGUUCUCAGACCUGUCCCCGGAACAUUCCUCCACUUCCCCUUCUAGGCCCAACACCACCCACCAUUAAGCAGGAAGUAGCCAGAGGACUUUACGCUGUCCCCCAUGUCACUUAGAAAAACAAAAAGGGAGGAAUGUUAGGUGCAGGACAGGCUGAGUAAGCUGUCUGCAGGGCAUGCCAAACAAAGUUAGCUGCAGGGUGACCUGGCCACUCAAACUCUCUGUCUGGCUCUUUAUCACCUGUUUGCUUCAAGCCCAAACGCCCAAGCCCCGGCUCAAGGCUGAACGCUUCGCCCCCCCUGCUCAAGGCUGAACACUCAACCCCCUGCUCAAGGCCGAACACAUAACCCCCCUUGUGCCAACAAGGCAGCUUGCAGACCCAGAGACCUCAUUAGAUUUGGGCUAUAAAAACUCCCUCCUGCCGGGCCCCUCUCUCUCUUGCUUUCUCUAUCUCUCUUGCUCUCUCUUGCUUUCUCUGUCUCUCUCUUGCGCGUGCUUCCUCUCUCUCUCUCUCUUUCUCUUUCUCUCUCUUCUCCUCUGUUGCACUGCUGCAAUAAAGAUCUCUUGGUGGCUCUGA